AACAACUUGCAUACAAUAGGACACAGCAUGUAACAAGUAGUUCAUUAAACUUGCAGCAUCCUAUCAUUGCAGUGGUUUGUGAGGGAACAGUGCAUGUUCAGUGUGAAUUCUUCUAAAUGUUAAGUGAACGAAUCACUCACUGACCCCAAUUUACCGAGCAGACUUGAUAAAUAGCAUACCGUAGAACAAAGCAACACAGCCAAACACUCUUGUCUCCCGGUCCCAGAAGCUAUGAAUUGAUCUGAAUCCUGAACUGCUCAGCUCUGUAUCAGUUCAGGAGGUUGGAGUCGCAGACUUCUCCCACCAAGCACUAAAUGAUUCAGUGAUUUGGUGAACGAAUCUUUUGAAUGAAUCUUUUUAGUGAAUUGAUUCUAGUGAUUUAGUACAUCUAAAAGAACUGCUGUGCCCAUCACUAGUCUGCAGACCUCUUCUAACUCAAGUCCAACAAAAUCUUUUGCAAGUUCCUUCUUCAACAGUUUACUUCACUUUUAGAACUAAAAGAUUCAGAAUCCCCAGAGGAUGUCCACAAAUGACUUUGGUAAUGCCUUUACAUUAGUACAGCCAGCAUAUUUCCAAAGCAUCACCACUAUCAUGUGCAGCAGAAACAUAGCAGUAUGUUUUGACAGGCAAAUUAAUUGACAGCAUCAUUCCUCUCUUUUUUUUUUUGCUCCAUCCAAAAGGUUAACUUGCCAGGUUCUGAAUUUUUAAUACUUGUGUCUGCUGCUGCUGCUGCUGGAUACCAACAUCAAGCACAGCAUCAGAGCACAGCAAAGUUAUCACUGUGAAUGCAGUCUGAGUGUCACCUGCUUGCAAAUUUGCAAACAACACUGCUGCUGUCACAGAUAGUGUCAAGCUGCUGGAGACAGGUGUACUUAUCCUGCGACUUUGAAUCAGCUGCAAAAGGAUUUGGGUUCGCGGGAGCUGUUCUUUAAAUGUUUUUAAAAACAGAUUGAAGACACUGGAGGAAGGCAAACAAUCAAAAUUUGACACAAAGGUGACCUAAUUUGACUUUGAGAGCUUUUGCAGCUAGCCUGAAGGACCUGCAGUUUUUAGCACCUCUGCAUCAGCUUUAUUUCUCAUCAGGAUGCCACCUGGUUUUCCAUAAUCAUGCAGCACAACCUGAUGUUUUGGCUUGCACAUCUGACAGGUUCAAUUAUAUCCUUUGUGUCUAGGACCAAAUCCAUGCAACACAAAGAAGAAUCCAAACAGCCCCAGCUGUGCCUCUAUUACACAAAAAAGCCUCCUAACACACUCGACAAAGACAGUUUAUAACUGUAAUUCAGUUAUGAACAACUCAGUGUUGCGCAUGUUGCUGAAAAUUAAUUAUUGGUUACAAUUACUUGUUACUAUCAAGGAGUGGCUGAAUUACUAGGUUGCUCAAUUAAGUCAGUAAUCAGUAACUCACUUCCUCUAGCUUCAGUACUCUUAGUGUACCCUGCCUCAUGUCUCACCAUUGUUUUGGUAGACAUGGUAGCUGUUGACAUGUUAGCAAACAUGGUAGCUUCAAGAACAGUGUCUUAUAGUUUUGUGGAGGGCUCAUCACAUCAAGCGCGAAGCGAUUUUGCGACUUUCCGGGGGGAAAAAAAGACGUGUCCCGGGUGGAAGCGAGAAGACUGACACAACAGCAGACUGACAGUUUUUCAGUUCUGAUUAGACACUAGUGUUGAGAUGUCUGUCUGUCAUGAUAGCAUGUACUGAGUCGGGGCCAGUACCAGAUAAGCACAUUAAACUAUGAUCCAUAAACGUAAGGUAACAACUGAGACCUAACAGCGCUGUGACAGCAACGGGAUUGAGUUUGAGACAGUGAAAAUACAUAUGGUAUGUUGUACCUGAACAGGUUAGCUUACAAGCUAAAGUUACUUAGCAUAGAUGAAAGUUAAAACAAAGACGUCAUAUGAAAAAUUCGGCGCUAUGACUCUCCACAAGUUGUCCUUCAGGUCGUUAUCUUUGUAAUAUUUGUGUUUUUUUAAUCAAAAAGCACUCUGUUUUCCGACCCGAAAACAAUCAGCCGGUCGGCCAUGUUGGAUAUACCGUUGAAUCUGACGUCGCGACAACACGAAAUCUGAUUGGUCAGUAGUGGACACAGAGCAUGCGAAACUUUAGAAAAAUCGACCGUGAUCUGAAAAAAUAAACGCCUCAAUAUCGCAGGACAUGCUGAUGUGAGCGCUUGUAUUGACAGGAUACCGUUAAGAAAAAAAAAUAUUGACGUCCGAAAUAAUCGCACGAAAACAAUGUUCCUUAAGUCAGCUUUACAGAGUCACAAGCAUGUUUGUAAAUUAUUUACUCUGCAUCAUGAAAGACAAACAGGUUAUUUAUUGUCAGUAAAUGCUCACGGACAGGAACAAAAAUCAAUGUAAAAUCAAAUAAAUCUUGAUUUAACAUUGAGGUGAAGUGAGUGUAUCUUUAAAAAUCUUACCCAGGGGUGACUUUAUGAUUAUGUUGGGUCAUUUUCAUGUCCGCUGAGAGUAAACCAAUUAAAUCUAGAUACAGCUCAACACAUGUGUUGACACAGUACAGUACAGUCUGUACUGUUAGAGUGGCUCAGCUGUCGGCAUCAUCUUGAAGAGAUUUUGCUCCCCGGUGCAUAUCUAAAAUUACGGCUGCUAUCUAAAGCAAUUAUAGCUGUAGGGGAGGGUGUUAAAGUGUUAAAGCUUGGAGAAAUGCUCAACUUGGACUGGAACCUAUCUCAUGAAUAUAAAUCUUCUUAUUAGACGGCCGUUUGAAUGCAGGGUCAAAGGUGUAUCCUGUGCUGUAUCUAUUUAUGAAAAAUGAUGACAUAGCAGCAUGAUUUCAGUGCAAGUGGAGGGUUAUUUUUCAGCUGUCUCGUCACUAUAACCCACUUUAACACACGCAAAUGCUCACAGAAAUCCAAGACGUUAAUGAUCUCUUGUAAAAUUUAAUAGCGACAUUGAUUUCCUGCUGUUUCAAACAAUAGGCCUCAGUGGUGUUGAGUUAAAAGACUUUGUGGCCGGAUGGGGAGCAAAUCUAAUUCAAAGCCUCUUUCCCCAUAAGCUUUUUAUUCUUCAGACCAAGGAGAGAGGUUUCCCAAGUGGUUUUGCUCAAGUUGCACACAACCAGUCAUCUGUUAUGCCAUAAUGAUGUAACAAAACACAGGAGGGAGGAUCAAGUGUGUCCAGCAAAAUGCUUUUGUCCCCAUUUAGUCUUUUUCCGAAUCCAUACGCUUGAUCAUACCUGUUUAAAAAUCUUCCUACACUGCACUUUUAUCUCUUCAUCUCUCGCUUCAUCCUCUUAGUUUUUCAUUUUACAGAUAUACCCAACAUUAUUGGAUGUCUUUGAUGCAUGAAAGGACUUGACUUAACUUUGAAUAUAAAAAAGAAAUCUGCCUUCUCUUCUCGAGGACGAUCUUUCACUCUCCUGGGAUCUCUUUGUUCCUUUAUAGUCAGAGGCCCAAUGAGCCCUGCUUUAAUGGCUCCUAUAGAUAUGCACAGCAGUAUCAGCA
rnacentral:lncRNA from 1 species